UGGGGAAUUUUGGACAAUGGGGGAAACCCUGAUCCAGCCAUCCCGCGUGUGCGAUGAAGGCCUUCGGGUUGUAAAGCACUUUUGGCAGGAAAGAAACGUCAUGGGUUAAUACCCCGUGAAACUGACGGUACCUGCAGAAUAAGCACCGGCUAACUACGUGCCAGCAGCCGCGGUAAUACGUAGGGUGCAAGCGUUAAUCGGAAUUACUGGGCGUAAAGCGUGCGCAGGCGGUUCGGAAAGAAAGAUGUGAAAUCCCAGAGCUCAACUUUGGAACUGCAUUUUUAGCUACCGGGCUAGAGUGUGUCAGAGGGAGGUGGAAUUCCGCGUGUAGCAGUGGAAUGCGUAGAUAUGCGGAGGAACACCGAUGGCGAAGGCAGCCUCCUGGGAUAACACUGACGCUCAUGCACGAAAGCGUGGGGAGCAAACAGG
rnacentral:rRNA from 1 species